GACGAACGCUGGCGGCGUGCUUAACACAUGCAAGUCGAACGGUGAAGGGGCCUGCUUUUGUGGGCCCUGGAUGAGUGGCGAACGGGUGAGAAACACGUGAGUAACCUGCCCCCUUCUUCUGGAUAACCGCAUGAAAGUGUGGCUAAUACGGGAUAUUCUGGGUCUGUCGCAUGAUGGGUCUGGGAAAGAUUGCGCCUUUGGGUGUUUUUGGUGGGGGAUGGGCUCGCGGCCUAUCAGCUUGUUGGUGGGGUGAUGGCCUACCAAGGCGGUGACGGGUAGCCGGCCUGAGAGGGUGGACGGUCACACUGGGACUGAGACACGGCCCAGACUCCUACGGGAGGCAGCAGUGGGGAAUAUUGCACAAUGGGCGCAAGCCUGAUGCAGCGACGCCGCGUGAGGGAUGGAGGCCUUCGGGUUGUAAACCUCUUUCGCCAGUGAAGCAGGCCUGCUCCUUGUGGGUGGGUUGACGGUAGCUGGAGAAGAAGCGCCGGCUAACUACGUG
rnacentral:rRNA from 1 species